rnacentral:rRNA from 1 species
AUACGUAGGUGGCAAGCGUUAUCCGGAUUUACUGGGUGUAAAGGGCGCGUAGGCGGGGGUGCAAGUCAGAUGUGAAAUCUAUGGGCUUAACUCAUAAACUGCAUUUGAAACUGUAUCUCUUGAGUGCUGGAGAGGUAGACGGAAUUCCUUGUGUAGCGGUGAAAUGCGUAGAUAUAAGGAAGAACACCAGUGGCGAAGGCGGUCUACUGGACAGUAACUGACGCUGAGGCGCGAAAGCGUGGGGAGCAAACAGGAUUAGAUACCCUGGUAGUCCACACCGUAAACGAUGAUUACUAGGUGUGGGUGCGUCAAGCAUCCGUGCCGGAGUUAACACAAUAAGUAAUCCACCUGGGGGGUACGACCGCAAGGUUGAAACUCAAAGGAAUUGACGGGG